GAUGAACGCUAGCUACAGGCUUAACACAUGCAAGUCGAGGGGCAGCAUUUUAGUUUGCUUGCAAACUAAAGAUGGCGACCGGCGCACGGGUGAGUAACACGUAUCCAACCUGCCGAUAACUCGGGGAUAGCCUUUCGAAAGAAAGAUUAAUAUCCGAUAGUAUAUUAAAACCGCAUGGUUUUACUAUUAAAGAAUUUCGGUUAUCGAUGGGGAUGCGUUCCAUUAGUUUGUUGGCGGGGUAAUGGCCCACCAAGACUACGAUGGAUAGGGGUUCUGAGAGGAAGGUCCCCCACAUUGGAACUGAGACACGGUCCAAACUCCUACGGGAGGCAGCAGUGAGGAAUAUUGGUCAAUGGACGAGAGUCUGAACCAGCCAAGUAGCGUGAAGGAUGACUGCCCUAUGGGUUGUAAACUUCUUUUAUAUGGGAAUAAAGUAUUCCACGUGUGGAAUUUUGUAUGUACCAUAUGAAUAAGGAUCGGCUAACUCCGUGCCAGCAGCCGCGGUAAUACGGAGGAUCCGAGCGUUAUCCGGAUUUAUUGGGUUUAAAGGGAGCGUAGGUGGAUUGUUAAGUCAGUUGUGAAAGUUUGCGGCUCAACCGUAAAAUUGCAGUUGAAACUGGCAGUCUUGAGUACAGUAGAGGUGGGCGGAAUUCGUGGUGUAGCGGUGAAAUGCUUAGAUAUCACGAAGAACUCCGAUUGCGAAGGCAGCUCACUAGACUGCAACUGACACUGAUGCUCGAAAGUGUGGGUAUCAAACAGGAUUAGAUACCCUGGUAGUCCACACAGUAAACGAUGAAUACUCGCUGUUUGCGAUAUACAGUAAGCGGCCAAGCGAAAGCAUUAAGUAUUCCACCUGGGGAGUACGCCGGCAACGGUGAAACUCAAAGGAAUUGACGGGGGCCCGCACAAGCGGAGGAACAUGUGGUUUAAUUCGAUGAUACGCGAGGAACCUUACCCGGGCUUAAAUUGCAUUUGAAUAAUCUGGAAACAGGUUAGCCGCAAGGCAAAUGUGAAGGUGCUGCAUGGUUGUCGUCAGCUCGUGCCGUGAGGUGUCGGCUUAAGUGCCAUAACGAGCGCAACCCUUAUCUUUAGUUACUAACAGGUUAUGCUGAGGACUCUAGAGAGACUGCCGUCGUAAGAUGUGAGGAAGGUGGGGAUGACGUCAAAUCAGCACGGCCCUUACGUCCGGGGCUACACACGUGUUACAAUGGGGGGUACAGAAGGCAGCUACCUGGCGACAGGAUGCUAAUCCCAAAAACCUCUCUCAGUUCGGAUCGAAGUCUGCAACCCGACUUCGUGAAGCUGGAUUCGCUAGUAAUCGCGCAUCAGCCAUGGCGCGGUGAAUACGUUCCCGGGCCUUGUACACACCGCCCGUCAAGCCAUGAAAGCCGGGGGUACCUGAAGUACGUAACCGCAAGGAGCGUCCUAGGGUAAAACUGGUAAUUGGGGC
rnacentral:rRNA from 1 species